AUUACAUGUGUACCUAGUGUGUACACACAAAGAUAAGGCCAUCGUUCGCUCUGAUAUAAUUAUAAUUGAAUUUGACGGCAACAGCUUCAAGUUGGCUACAAUUGUCAAGGCUACUUCGCUUUCACAUCAAAACCAGAAUCCCAACUGUAGGACCGUCGAUACCUAACCCGCUUCUUUCUGCACAAGGGCGAUCUACUGUUGUUAUAAUCUGAUAGGCCUAGACGUCUAGUGCUUCGUUGAUCAAGAUGUCGGGGACGUUUCUUUCACGGUUGUUAAUGGCGUGUUCUUUGGCGUGUGCGCUAGCGUCAGGUGUAGAUCUCGGAGAAAAUGUCAAUGGUGAUUCCACCGAAGUGGCGGGAAAAAAACUCUUUCUCAGAAACAGCAACAACAAUAAUAACAACAACAAUAACAACAAUAACAACAACAAUAA